AGCGGCGGAUGGGUGAGUAACACGUGGGGAACCUGCCCCUAAGUCUGGGAUACCAUUUGGAAACAGGUGCUAAUACCGGAUAAUAAAGCAGAUCGCAUGAUCAGCUUUUGAAAGGCGGCGUAAGCUGUCGCUAAGGGAUGGCCCCGCGGUGCAUUAGCUAGUUGGUAAGGUAACGGCUCACCAAGGCGACGAUGCAUAGCCGAGUUGAGAGACUGAUCGGCCACAUUGGGACUGAGACACGGCCCAAACUCCUACGGGAGGCAGCAGUAGGGAAUCUUCCACAAUGGACGCAAGUCUGAUGGAGCAACGCCGCGUGAGUGAAGAAGGUUUUCGGAUCGUAAAGCUCUGUAGUUGGUGAAGAAGGAUAGAGGUAGUAACUGGCCUUUAUUUGACGGUAAUCAACCAGAAAGUCACGGCUAACUACGUGCCAGCAGCCGCGGUAAUACGUAGGUGGCAAGCGUUGUCCGGAUUUAUUGGGCGUAAAGCGAGCGCAGGCGGAAAAAUAAGUCUAAUGUGAAAGCCCUCGGCUUAACCGAGGAACUGCAUCGGAAACUGUUUUUCUUGAGUGCAGAAGAGGAGAGUGGAACUCCAUGUGUAGCGGUGGAAUGCGUAGAUAUAUGGAAGAACAUCAGUGGCGAACGCGGCUCUCUGGUCUGCAACUGACGCUGAGGCUCGAAAGCAUGGGUAGCGAACAGGAUUAGAUACCCUGGUAGUCCAUGCUGUAAACGAUGAGUGCUAAGUG
rnacentral:rRNA from 1 species